UUCAGUGCUUUCCCACAAGCUGUUGCUGCUGAGUGACAACUGGAUAUGAUGACUGAUUACCUGAGAAAAAGAUUUGAUGAAAUCUCAAAAUUCCUCUAGAUAGUCAAGUUCUGAUCCAGCCGCGUCACCUCAGCAGAGUCUU
rnacentral:miRNA from 1 species